GCAGGACAGAGACGACUAUUCCAGUGGCGAGGACCAGUCAUAAUCAAUACGACAAGAGCGAGGGAGCUUUCUUCUGAGCCACUAUGAUUCUGUGGUUCGUCUCACUUUGGUUCGAGAUACUACACGAAAACCGCAGAGAGCUUCUUUGGAUCAUUGCUGGAACUUGCUUUUUCCGGAUAGCCAACUGGGCCGCCGUUCAAUUUUCAUCUCCGGACCAAUAUUGCAUACUCAAGCAAACAAAUGCAGGUCAGAUAGCCAAAUGCCUUGAAGGUGUUCGAGAUUUUGUGGUAGUUAGCACUGCCAGUGUAAUAGUGAAGGUUGAAUAUGAAAGCUGUUUAAAAGGAUGGUUCUCCUGGGUUGCUUGUUGUAUAAUUUAGGAUGGGGGAUGUGUAUGCACGAAGUUCAGAGAUGAAAAUCGUAAGCUUGGUGGCUGAUAGAUAGGGAGAAGAGAUAUACAAAAGCAAAUCAAUGUUCAAAUCUUACAGUUGAGAUUUAAGGGGAAUUGGUAGUUUUUGAACUCUGGUGAAAAUUUUGGAAGGUCUUGAAAGUAAAUGAAGAUUUUACAAUCAAGAAUGUUUAGCCAUC